rnacentral:rRNA from 1 species
AGCGAACGCUGGCGGCGUGCCUAACACAUGCAAGUCGAACGUGAAAGGGAGCACUCCCAAGUAAAGUGGCGUACGGGUGAGUAACACGUAGGUAAUCUACCCCAGAAUCUGGAAUAACCGGCCGAAAGGCUGGCUAAUACUGGAUAGAGCGACGGAAUCCGUAAUUGGGUUUUUCGGGAAAGGGAGCCUGUAAAAAGGCCUUCGUUCUGGGAUGAGCCUGCGUCCCAUCAGCUAGUUGGUGAGGUAAAAGCUUACCAAGGCAAUGACGGGUAGCUGGUCUGAGAGGACGAUCAGCCACACUGGAACUGAAACACGGUCCAGACUCCUACGGGAGGAAGCAGUGGGGAAUCUUGCGCAAUGGACGAAAGUCUGACGCAGCAACGCCGCGUGAGUGAAGAAGGCCUUCGGGUUGUAAAGCUCUGUCGAGUGGGACGAAAAUGCUUGGAGUUAACAGCUCCAGGAACUGACGGUACCACUAAAGGAAGCACCGGCUAACUCCGUG